rnacentral:rRNA from 1 species
CUUACAAGGAUUUCCUUAGUAACGGCGAGUGAAAAGGGAACAGCCCAGCCUUAGAAUCGAAUGGUUUUGCCGUUUGAAUUGUAGUCUGGAGAAGUGUCCUUAGCGGCGGACUGGGCCCAAGUCCCCUGGAAAGGGGCGCCAGAGAGGGUGAUAGCCCCGUCGGGCCUAGACCCUGUCGCACCACGAGGUGCUGUCUUAGAGUCGGGUUGUUUGGGAAUGCAGCCCAAAUUUGGUGGUGAAUUCCGUCCAAGGCUAAAUACAGGCGAGAGCCCGAUAGUGAACAAGUACCGCGAGGGAAAGAUGAAAAGAACUUUGAAAAAAGAGCCAAAGAGUGCUUGAAAUUGUCGAGAGGGAAGCGGAUGGAGACUGGCGAUACGCCCAGGUUGGAUGUGGAACGGUGGCUAGCCGGUCCGCUGAUUGGCUCUGGGUGUGGAUCAGCAAGAAUUCAGGUGGCGGUUGAAGCUUGGGCAUUUGAUAUGCUAGGGGAAUGCUGUCUCUUGUAUUGUGGGAAGUGGUGCGCGCCCUGCGUGUGCUUCGGCACCUGCGUACUCAGGUCGUUGACUUGUGGGCUCUCCAUUCGACCCGUCUUGAAACACGGACCAAGGAGUCUGACAUGUGUGCGAGUUGGCGAGUGGGAAAACUUGCAAGGCGCAAGGAAGCUGAUUGGCGGGAUCCCUCUUUGGGGUGCACUGCCGACCGACCUUGAUCUUUUGAGAAGGGUUUGAGUGUGAGCAUACCUGUUGGGACCCGAAAGAUGGUGAACUAUGCCUGAGCGGGGUGAAGCCAGAGGAAACUCUGGUGGAAGCCCGCAGCGAUACUGACGUGCAAAUCGUUCGUCUGACUUGGGUAUAGG